rnacentral:rRNA from 1 species
CCUACGGGUGGCAGCAGUGAGGAAUAUUGGUCAAUGGGCGCGAGCCUGACCCAGCAAAGUAGCGUGAAGGAUGACUGCCCUACGGGUGGUAAACUUCUUUUAUAAGGGAAUAAAGUGAGGCGCGGUUGCCUUUUUGUAUGUACUUUAUGAAUAAGGAUCGGCUAACUCCAUGCCAGCAGCCGCGGUAAUACGGAGGAUCCGAGCGUUAUCCGGAUUUAUUGGGUUUAAAGGGAGCGUAGAUGGGUUGUUAAGUCAGUUGUGAAAGUUUGCGGCUCAACCGUAAAAUUGCAAUUGAUACUGGCAGUCUUGAGUACAGUUGAGGUAGGCGGAAUUCGUGGUGUAGCGGUGAAAUGCUUAGAUAUCACGAAGAACUCCGAUUGCGAAGGCAGCUUACUAAACUGCCACUGACAUUGAUGCUCGAAAGUGUGGGUAUCAAACAGGAUUAGAUACCCCAGUAGUC